UCACCAAGUCAAUGAUCUUUAGGGGGCCUGAGAGGGUGAUCCCCCACACUGGUACUGAGACACGGACCAGACUCCUACGGGAGGCAGCAGUGAGGAAUAUUGGACAAUGGGUGGAAGCCUGAUCCAGCCAUCCCGCGUGAAGGACGACGGCCCUAUGGGUUGUAAACUUCUUUUGUACAGGGAUAAACCUACCCUCGUGAGGGUAGCUGAAGGUACUGUACGAAUAAGCACCGGCUAACUCCGUGCCAGCAGCCGCGGUAAUACGGAGGGUGCGAGCGUUAUCCGGAUUUAUUGGGUUUAAAGGGUCCGCAGGCGGGCUAGUAAGUCAGUGGUGAAAGCCUACAGCUUAACUGUAGAACUGCCGUUGAUACUGCUAGUCUUGAGUAUAGUUGAGGUAGCUGGAAUGAGUAGUGUAGCGGUGAAAUGCAUAGAUAUUACUCAGAACACCGAUUGCGAAGGCAGGUUACCAAGUUAUAACUGACGCUGAGGGACGAAAGCGUGGGGAGCGAACAGGAUUAGAUACCCUGGUAGUCCACGCCGUAAACGAUGCUAACUCGUUUUUGGGCUUUAGG
rnacentral:rRNA from 1 species